UGUUAACUUUUUGUUUACCAGGCACGGUAAGUAUAAUAGAACCGCUCUACUCAGCUUUUCUGUGUGUUUUAAAAGGACUGUUUAGAAGUAUACUCAAAGUUUGAACUCUUUUUUCCAUCGUAUGUUAUUUUGACAAGCUCCUUACCCUGACGCAUUAAGUAUAUUUAGCAACAAAACCUGGAAUCACAAACAAAGUAACAACAAACAAAACAACAAACAAAGUAACAAAGUAACACUGAGACUGGACUAAUGCACUUAUAAUUAAAACUGCAUUAGGCAAAAAGAUUUCAUUAAAGUAUGAGUUGCGUUUUUUCCUGCAAGAAUGAUAGAAGUGAUUUCUUUCAGUACAGAAGGGAUGAAACCCUGGAUGUGUCAUGCCAGAGACACUAAAGUGCGAAUUUAUCCUUUCUACUUUUUACACGAGAAUCAGAUUGCUAUCUUAGACGGUUGUCUAAUUAAGUGAUAGCUGUGUUUACACACCUUUGCAGUUCAAAUGAAAGCUUGAAAUGCAAUAGGACCCCAUUCGCAGGAUCCUCGUUGAUAGCAGUACCAAUAGGAACUGAAGAGGCCAUCCUGGGUAAAUAAUUUUAAUAAUAAUAUGGUAAUAUUUUCGUACUGAGAAUCUCCGUUUUUUCUUUUCUUGAAUUCUGACCAAUGCUGAGAAACCAACGCCAUGAUAGUUGAUAGUUGCCGCAGAACCUCGUCCUCAAGGUCAAGUAAGUGCUAGCGACUUUGACAUCAGGCAACAAACCUCGGGGGACGAGGAUAAUUACCAUGUACAGGAUGCGAAGCUGCGAAAGAAAAAUUUUUUUGUCAAGACUUAUCAUUCCUGACAUUUUCUUUAUGCAAAAAAGAAAAAACUACCCGUAUUAGAGCAUACGACUUUCAUUGCUUAAAAAUUUAGGACAAGUAUAAAAGUAGCUACUCUAAAUAAAAACAUGAAUAGGAGGCUGACGUUAUUGUUUAUCCUUUAUUGUAAUAAGUGCGAGGAGUUUAAAAGUGAGAAAAGUUUGUUUUCAACGCGUAUGGAAUUAAAAUAAAGCAAGUACGAAAUAAUGAGUCAGCCCCCUUUCUUUCCCACAUUUCAUUAUGCCAAUGAGUUAGGGUUAAGCACUCACUUUUGGGAGCAGCAUUUAGUGGUAGGUGCUAACCACUUCAACGUUCAAGGGUUUUUUUUGCAUUGCUAGGAACCUUAAUUUUGGAAGAUUAAUCUAGGGACGACCUUAGAACUAAAUUAUAUUUUUUGCAUUACCACCGUUUGAAAAUUUUAAAUCUAUUUGAGAUCUUUAACACCUCUUUUAAAUCACAACUCGAAGAAAUUGUUGAAUUUUUGUACUCUUUUCAAGGUCGCAUAGUAACUUUGACAAUCUUUCUAUAUAUAUCAGUACCUUUCCAAAAGAUUACAGAUUGAAUUGAACAGUUUUCUAUUUUUGGGAGUGAAGGAAGGUGAUAUUACAGAGCCUAGAAUGAAGGGAACAAUUUUGUUUUGUUUCAUGCUACUCAGCAUGCUGGCAGUCAUCAGACCAGCUCCAUUUGACCACCACAAAAGAGAGGUCAGAAUCAACGAACAGGAGUACGAGAACUGUAUGUAUGUUGUCAAACAGAAAUAUGACGAUUGUAAGCAGACCAUCUGCAGAACAGAAUACGACGCAGAAGAAACAACGUGUAGGGAACAUAGCACGAUUUAGGUCCGAUGUAGAUAUUAUAUUAUAUAUAUCCAUAUAUGUUUUUUUUUUUGGUUGAAGAAUAUUAAAUCUAUAUAUGGAAA